GACGAACGCUGGCGGCGUGCUUAACACAUGCAAGUCGAACGGAAAGGCCCUGCUUUUGUGGGGUGCUCGAGUGGCGAACGGGUGAGUAACACGUGAGUAACCUGCCCUUGACUUUGGGAUAACUUCAGGAAACUGGGGCUAAUACCGGAUAGGAGCUCUUGCUGCACGGUGGGGGUUGGAAAGUUUCGGCGGUUGGGGAUAGACUCGCGGCUUAUCAGCUUGUUGGUGGGGUAGUGGCUUACCAAGGCUUUGACGGGUAGCCGGCCUGAGAGGGUGACCGGCCACAUUGGGACUGAGAUACGGCCCAGACUCCUACGGGAGGCAGCGGUCGAGAGUAUGGCGCAAUAGGCGGAAGCCUGAUGCAGCAACGCCGCGUGCGGGAUGACGGCCUUCGGGUUGUAAACCGCUUUCGCCUGUGACGAAGCGUGAUUGACGGUAAUGGGUAAAGAAGCACCGGCUAACUACGUG
rnacentral:rRNA from 1 species